ensembl:snoRNA U3 Small nucleolar RNA U3
AAGACUAUACUUUCAGGGAUCAUUUCUAUAGUUUGUUACUAGAGAAGUUUCUCUGAAUGUGUAGAGCACCGAUAGCAAAAGC